AUGCGCGCUCCGCAGAGGACGUUCUUUUCCUCUGAACCUUAUUCUCAGCAACAUCCAUCAAUAUCAGGCGGUCGGUCUCCGCACGUCCUGCAGGAGAAGAUGUGCCCCUGUGUCUUAUUCACGGCCCUUCUUUCCAUUCCCCUCGCUGUGGGUUGGGUAAUACCAGCUGAAAGAGAAGAACUCCACAGGGUUUGUGCCGGGAAGGAAUUCCGCCUGCCAGUGUACUCAACGUCACGAACGGUGACUUUUACCCCAAACACUGAAGGACCUAAGCAUGUCCUGUUGGACAAAACCACCGUGAGUGGAAGUGUGUUUGCGCUCAUGUUUGUGGGUUUUUUUUUGUUGUGCAUGCAGAUUGUCAAAACCUAUUUACAUCUGCAGGUAAAGGAUCCACGGUUCGAAUGGACCAGAGAUAAGAUGUUGGUACUGAAAGAGGUGACUCACAGUGAUGAUGGACUUUUUGCCAUCAAACUCUCGUCUGGAUUCACCUACGAGACUGUUCGUCUGAUUGUUUCAGAAUGCAUUAAGUCCUACCACAGAAACUACGGGGAGAACUUUGAGCACAUCAUCCCAGAAAAUGGCUCCCUACUGGAGUUUUCUCCCCGAGGUGCUCCAUCUAAGGCCAUGCCCAUUGUGCUUUGGAACCGGACGGAACCUGAAACCAGUGAUGCGAGGCGGGGUCGGCUGAUGCGAGGCGGGAAGGUGUGGGUGGCCGAGAAAGUGACUCAAGUGGACCAAGGCAACUACACUGUGAGAGACGCGCAGGGGAAGGUGCUGUCCCGCAGCACCCUCGCUGUCCGUGGACACUCAUACAAUGUCACCCGCUUCAGCAAGGAGACUCUAAACCUGCCCCUCUUUCUACCUGUACAUCAUGCCCACCUCGUUUUUACCCCCACCCAACACCCUGAUGAAUCCUCACUGAGCCAUUUUGACCCCAAGCCCCCCCACGGAGCUGUGCAUCUUAUCCGCGAUGGCCAAAUAACAGACUACGACAUGCGCUACAGGGGCCUCAUCUCCCUGGGCAGGAAAGGUACCACCAAUGAGGUCGUCAUAGCGAGGCUGACCUCAAGGCAUGACGGGGUGUAUGAAAUUAGAGAUGGGAAUGGCAACCUGGUGUCCUCCACCUUAUUACAGGUGAUUGAAAAGGGGCCCAGAUGGCGAUCAUUCCUCAAGUCCAUCACUGUCCCUUCUGGGAUGUUCGUGUCAUUGGCUGGUUUCAUCUUUUUCAUGAGGCGCUACCCAAACUGCAGCCUGUCCAAGAUCAUCGCUGGCCUCAGAGUAAACCGCACACCACCAGCCAACCCUCCGAGAGUUAACAUCCAGGACUACAGCCAGCCCGUCUCUGAGCCCUCAGAAUACAACAGUCACUCCCAGCAGCCUGGACCACCAACAAAAUGGAGCCCGAGAGCCAGUCCUACUCAUAGUGGUUACACUCCAGUAACUGUCGGUACUCCGAGAGCUGAGAACCAGGGAACACACAGAUUGACAGCUGGGAGAUCCCCAUGUCAUAAUUCAACACCUGAGCGGGACUCAUCUAAUGAGGAACAGAGAAGGAUUUCCUUUUCAGUGCCUGGGGCUUCAGAUUGCCUCCACUCGUCCGAGGACUGUGUUCAAUUUCAGAUCAAGAAAGAUGGAGAUAAAAAAAGUUGGAGCCAAUCGCAAGAAUACUUCUCCACACUGCCACUAGACACAAACACCUCUGAAUCCUGCAGUGUUUACUCUUCUGAGAAACUGAACUGA
ensembl:lncRNA